CAGCACCAAGAGGGAACCCGGCUGAAGGGAAACAGUGGACUUUGGGUGACUAUGAUGGGUCAGCGUAGGUUCAGCCUUGGUAAACCCUCAUGUCUUUUGCCCUUCAGGAACUGAUCUACAAAUAAACUGAAACACACAUAAAUCCCCUACAUCAGAAAGUAAAAAGCUCUAAAUAUUAUAAGAUAUGCAAAUAGAAGACUGCAAGUUUAUAGGCUUCAAUUUCAAAAGUGGCAUCAAACAAGGGAAAACAACAGACACCUGUGGCGUGCCGCCGUGCGCAGACGCGCCAUGAAGCACUGUGGAGUGUCCAGCAACAUGGCGGCUGUGGCCCUGCCUGCCACGAGCAAAGAAAGCGCUGGAGGCCGAGAAAAGGCCGGAGCAACGGAACAGUAAUUCACAAGACAAGGACCUAAGAGAUGUCACGAAGUAAGACACGGGUGAUGAGGCUUCUGGAGUAGAGAACUGGGAGAUCGCUUCUGACUCAGACGGUCGGGGGUGGCUUUGUUCCUGUAACCAUCUGUGCCUAUGACGGUCACCACUUCCUGAGCACUUGCGCUCUUCUUCAUGCUUCACACUCAUCUCUAAUCAUCACAACCCAGCAAGGGUGAAGUUCUUCAUCAAAUUAUCGCAGAACUGGGAGAAAGCCUGGACGACUUACACAAUUACUAUCUUAACCCCUUACCAGCUGCUCACCUGUGCGCACACUGGAUUUACACCAAGAGACCCAGGUGAAAUAUUCUGUGGAGCUCCCUGCAAAUAGACUGUCAGCCUCCACUCUGAUAAAAGGUAAAAUAUCCUCCUCUAAAUGGUCUGGUUCACAAAACCGACCCUAAAGUGAACUGAUAAAUCUGUUCUGACACACGGAAAACUAUUUUCAUAAUCCUGAAAAAGGCCUUUCUCCAAACCCCGGAGCUUAAACCAGCCUCACAAAGAGCCUUGUACCCUUGAGAGCCCGGCGGAGGAGGAAAUCACUUCACAUUUAUAACCCUGCUUUCCGGGACAACGGCACGAAGAGCGCACGGCACCAUUGCAACCACCAAGGAAAAUCAGACAGUCAUGGAGUCACGAAAAUUACAGAGAUAACACAUUCACAAGCAGCAAAUGCCUUGGCAAAACCUCACGUAGGAGAGGGAAAGCCAAGGAGGCCAGCUCAGAGGUGGACGCUCAUUGACUAACCGUCAAUUCUUCAUUAAAUGGAAGCUCUGACUUCCCAAGAAGCCGUAUUAAAAAUUAAUACCAAAAAGUGUGUUGCCAGCCUACACUCAUCAUUCAUGUAUAACAACAUCAAACUGCAUUCCAGUGGAAUUUUGCCUUUGAAGUUACUCUGACACCAAAACUAAGUUUGAUGCUGUGACAGAAGCAGUCACAGCUCUGGGGCACGAGGAUUUUAAAGACCCCUUACUCUGUAGGUCUCCAUCACACCGCUCUCUUAAUCACCAGAAUAAAUCAAGCUGCUGGUAACCCUACCUAAUCGCAGGCUUUGAAGCCAUUGAGGGGAGCUGUGACGCUGGGACCCUCUCGGGUAUGGCCUCCACAUGUUUCCCUCAGUCAUUACCUACAACUCAAGUGGCCUGGACCCCAGCCAACGUUCGCACGUCUCCCCAGAAGAGUGGGAAUGCAGCCUGCUCCAGCGGCUUCCGACCGGAGGGGCCUGUGGACGACAAUGAGCUCCCGACCCACACGCGCAUGCUCUGUGAAGUCCUGAUCUCCCAGCUGCUGGUCAGGAGCCUGGAGAAGCUGCAUGUGAAGACAGCUAGCACAGCUGGGGGGCUGCACCCCAACCGGCAGCCCCUCGGGGCCCAGGCUCAGCACCCCAGUGAAAUGCUGCACAACCAGUGAUCCUGUGACCACAAGCAUCAGGGCACAGGGAUAGUGUGCACGCCAAAGGUGACUCACCUGCUUGGGGUCAAAUCCUAGCUCUGACACUUAGGAGCUGUGUGAACUUGGGGAAGGAAUUCAGCUUCCUUGAUCUCAGUUUCCUCAUCAUAAGACGCAGGUGAUAACAGCACCCAACUCACAGAGCUGUUAUCAGGAUUAAAGGAGUUGUUAUUUGUUAAGCACUUGGAACCGGGCCUGACACCUAGUAAAUGCAAUACGUGUCUCGGAUAGAUGGAUGGAAGAAGAGAUGGAUAAAUAUAUGCUACCUGGUUCGAUGGAUCUAAACCAGCUCACUUUACACAUUCAAAAAAUAUUUUUUGAGUGCCUACCAUAUGCCAGGCACCUGGAGUUCAAAGGUCCCUACCAUUCCGAGGCCACACAUUUUUCACUGAACACUUACUGUGAAUAUCGAACGAGAUGACAUAGUUGAAAGUACUUGCUAAAUUUCCAUACAUAGUGAUGUGAUAUUAUCAUCCUUAUUUCUGUGUGACUAGCCUUUUCUGAGGCUUUAAAGGAGAAAAAAAAGAAACAUGAGCAUCCCGGUCAUCAAUAAGUGGCAAAUGUAGUCAUAAGACCAAACAUAAACACAGGCAGCAACAAGAGGGAAACGUGAAAUGCCAAAGCGUACAGGGCAGGCACCUGGAGGCGAGGAUCGGGGACGACGACACGGGCCCGGCUUUCUGGAAGAGGCGAGGGCUACACCAGGUCUGGAGGGUGGACAGGACCAAGCCUCGGCGUUCUGGAGUCCAGUCUGCCUCUUUCAGGAGGGCAGCUGGCAUGAGGUAAGGCACACAGCAAUGGCCACAGCGGAGAUGCUUCUGGAAUGAGGACCAUGUGCUCAGGAGCCAAGAGGAGACUCGUCUGAUUAACCGGAGAGGAUGUGGGAGACAUGUCAGAUAACAGGAAGCCAGUGAAAGUUCCAGACAGGAAGAAAGAACACGUGCCUGUCUGAAAACCCCAACGGGAUGGCAGGCAGCCUAGGACUUGAAAGUUUCAGGCAAAGAAUGUAAACGUGGGCUAUUUAAAUGAAAUAAUGAGCCCCCUGAAGCCCCACCUCUAAUCUAACUUCGAAUUGGUGUUCAGGUCCUACCCCUCCAGGGGGUUCUUCUCUGAGACACCCCUGGCUGUCGGUACUUUUGGCUGGAGUGGGUGGACGGUACCGCUAGCAGAGUGAGGCUAAUUCAAAUGCACAGUGCCAACGCUUGUGCUCCUUGGGCAAAACCCCUACAAAUCUGCAUUACAGUUUUCAUCUUACAAGGAGUGUGUCACAUCAAGGAAGGUUAUGAAAAUGUGUGUCCAAUCUUCAGAUGGAUGCAGUUUUCGUGUGAAGGAAAAAGAAGUGUAAUUAUUCCUAAUAAAGCCACAGUUACGCCCGGACACUCUGCAGAGGCAUGGGAUCUGAAGGCCCACUGGAACGGCAAGACCCAAGCCCUCCUCUAAUGGGGCCAGGGCCGAGGGCUCCCCUGGGGUCGGGUACCCCAAAACGUCUCUUGCUGCUAUGGAAGUGGAGCUCAAAAUCCCAGUUAUAAGCUGUUUACUAUUAGGGGAAAGAUAUCAUUGGACUCAGCCGUCGGCCCUGUCUGCUAGCCUUACCUUGGUGCAGGACACACAUGACCCUUCUCACAAAUGAUGACCUUAGAGUAAACAACAGCUUUCAACUCAAAUAAAUCCCCUCCAAUCCUCUGGGCUGAGCCUUCUCCAACUAACCCUGUAAUCGAGGAGAAGCGGCUGGGCCUCCGCACAUGCAGUGCCUCCACUCCAAGCCUUCCGCCACUCAGACAAACACCUCGAAGGGAGAAGGAAGACUCGGCCUCCCCAGUCUGGGCCAUUCUGGCCUCUCCUUCAAGUCCUGCAACAACAGGCAGGUGACAGCUGUCACCUGUGGUGCAGAGACCGUCUUACAAUUCAACACGGACAGAAGGCGGCCGCCAGCUUAGUCAACAGGAUCCAGCCGGCGAGCAAAGCUUCUGUUUCCGAUGCUGGCUUCUUCUGCGGUUGAUCAAGCAGCAGAGUUGAUCCCACCCACGUCCACAGGAAGGCGGGGUCAGGGAGGCCAGGACGGGGCGCCGCGGCUCAUGGGCUGUUGACAAUGGAUGUGAUGGUGGAUGAGCCCGGGCCGCGUGGCAGGAAUUCUAGAUCACCGAGGCGUGAUUUUUUCUCUCCUUUGGGACAAGCCAUUAACCUUUGAGAUGACAGCCCUGGGAUCGGAGCGAUGGAACGAUUUUUGAGGUCAACCACGAUCUAUGUUCUCAAAACCUGACAUCGACAUGCAAAAGUUGUGACUGAAUCCUGGUGUCCCUAAGAGGAAGACUAAAUGCGUGUGACAGAUCUUCUGCAAUCAAAAUGCCCCAUUUCCCAGAGUAUCUGUCACAGAUUGAUAACAUCCACGCAAAAAGUUAAGUACAAUUAUGUCUGUCACUAAGAAACAUACUUCGGAACCUGUGACUGACAACUUGCUGGAAGCUGACAAAUCCCCGGAAGAUUCUAGAACA